GCACUACAACGGGUGGAGCCUGCGGUUUAAUUGGAUUCAACGCCGGAAAACUCACCGGGUGCGACAGCAAUAUGUAGGUCAGGCUGAAGGUCUUACCUGAAUCGCUGAGAGGAGGUACAUGGCCGUCGUCAGUUCGUACUGUGAAGCAUCCUGUUAAGUCAGGCAACGAGCGAGACCCGCGCCCACAGUUGCCAGCAUGUUCUCCGGAACGAUGGGUACACUGUGAGGACCGCCGCUGCUAAAGCGGAGGAAGGAACGGGCUACGGUAGGUCAGUAUGCCCCGAAUCUCCCGGGCUACACGCGGGCUACAAUGGUUGGGACAAUGGGCACCUACCCUGAAAAGGGACGGUAAUCUCCUAAACCCAACCGUAGUUCGGAUUGAGGGCUGUAACUCGCCCUCAUGAAGCUGGAAUCCGUAGUAAUCGCGUUUCAACAUAGCGCGGUGAAUACGUCCCUGCUCCUUGCACACACCGCCCGUCAAACCAUGCGAGUGAGGUCUGGGUGAGGGCAUGUUUAUGACAUGUUCGAACCUGGGCUUCGCAAGUGGGGUU
rnacentral:rRNA from 1 species